UUAGAGAACAGCUUUUGUCUGUGAGCAGUUGCACCACGCACUCCAGGUCGUUUCCAGAGUGCUUCCCUCCCUGCAGCAUUACCCCUGGGGCUGAGAGUUGCUCUUCCCUGUUGAGGGUGGGCAGAAGCUGACAUAGCAGAGAAUGGCUGUAGAGUUCUCCCUGGAUAGAGUGUAGGAGGAGCUGGAUGGAGGCGGCUGGGAAGGCUCUUGGUGGGAGUUGUUGCUGCUGGUGGACUGAGGCGAUGGUCUCAUUUUUCCCUUCCUUGGCUUCCUAAGGUGGGCAGUCCCUGGGGUGUUCUGCUGUACUGCUGAUGCUCAGCAUACGGAAGCCGAGAAACGGAUGUAUGCGAUGAGAGCGGCUCUGACGAUCAUCUGCCAAACCGUGGGCAGCACCAGGAGGAGCACCCCGUGUCUGCUGGCUCUCCGUAGCCCAUCCUGGGCACUGCAGCCUCCCUUCUGCUGCACACGGUGUGAUUCAUAAUGCAGCAGCUCUGCUGUAAGCUGGCUGCCUCUUUGUGAGCUGUCGCUGCUGCAGCAGAGAAAAGCAUUUGAGCUCAGGCAACAAAUAGACUGUGCAUGUCUAGCAAAUAGUCAGAACUCCAGAAACAGUACUUAACAGAUGAUCUUAUCUUGGGAUAAUCUCAUAAAGUGUACUGACUGGUUAAAAGUAGGCUUUGAAGUUUGCGGCAAACAUUUCAAAUCUUUGCCCUUUGUGAUCGUGGGCUUUUUGUUUGUUGUUUCCUCCAUUGUCUAUACAAAAAUACCACUUCAGUUAUUCUUUUCGAUAGGCUGUGUUCUAGCCUUUCUGGAAAAGUACCAAAUUAUUAAUGGGUGUUUGUUGCUUUUAGUUGUGCUUCUCAGUUCUAACGCUAUUCCUGCUAUUUGCAGUAUGUUUAGGCUAUGUUUAGGCACAUGCAAAUGUAAGUGGUUAUUCAGCGCCUUUGGUGUUCUGAACAGAACGUCCUGAACUCCCAUGGCUCCUUACAAAGCCUCAGCCUCCAGCACUAACAAAGCCUGUGACGGCAGUAG